AGUAAAUAGAUACCCCGGUAGUCCACGCCGUAAACGAUGAAUACUAGGUGUGGGGGUUGUCAUGACCUCCGUGCCGCCGCUAAACGCAUUAAGUAUUCCGCCUGGGGAGUACGGUCGCAAGAUUAAAACUCAAAGGAAUUGACGGGGGCCCGCACAAGCAGCGGAGCAUGUGGUUUAAUUCGAAGCAACGCGAAGAACCUUACCUAGACUUGACAUCUCCUGAAUUACUCUGUAAUGGAGGAAGCCCUUCGGGGCAGGAAGACAGGUGGUGCAUGGUUGUCGUCAGCUCGUGUCGUGAGAUGUUGGG
rnacentral:rRNA from 1 species